UACGUAGGGGGCAAGCGUUGUCCGGAAUCAUUGGGCGUAAAGCGCGUGUAGGCGGUUCAGUAAGUCUGCUGUGAAAGUCCAGGGCUCAACCCUGGGAUGCCGGUGGAUACUGCUGGGCUAGAGUACGGAAGAGGCGAGUGGAAUUCCCGGUGUAGCGGUGAAAUGCGCAGAUAUCGGGAGGAACACCAAUUGCGAAGGCAGCUCGCUGGGACGUUACUGACGCUGAGACGCGAAAGCGUGGGGAGCAAACAGGG
rnacentral:rRNA from 1 species